rnacentral:misc_RNA from 1 species
UCUCCGUAGGUGAACCUGCGGAGGGAUCAUUACCGAGUGAGGGUCCUCGUGGCCCGACCUCCAACCCCCUGUCUUCCGACUCUGUUGCCUCGGGGGCGACCCGGCCUUCGGGCGUCGGGGCCCCCGGCGGACCCCCCAACGCUGCAUCUUUGCGUCCGAGUCUGAUUUGAAUCAAUCAAAACUUUCAACAACGGAUCUCUUGGUUCUGGCAUCGAUGAAGAACGCAGC